rnacentral:tRNA from 3 species
UCCGAGAUAGCUCAGCUGGCAGAGCAGCUGACUGUUAAUCAGCGGGUCGCAGGUUCGAGCCCUGCUCUCGGAG